rnacentral:rRNA from 1 species
AUGUUGGAGACACCCACAGCCGAGCUUUUCUCAAGAGAUGCUGGAGGCACCGCCACUUUCGUGUGCGGGUGUUCGAGGGUGGAUUUUCAAAGUUUCUGCAACGCAGCCAUUGUUUCAGGAAUUGUUUCUGCAACGCGGCCGUUGUUUCAGGAAUUGUUUCUGCAAUCUCCAAAUUUUUACAACAUGGAUUGUUUCUGCAAUGCGGCCUUUGUUUCUGCAACUGGUUUAUUGUUUCAGGAAUUAGUGUGUCGGGACGGCGACGAGCCGCGUGCGAGGAGCCAGAUCGGACGGCUCGCGCACGAAGAUCCGACGGCUGUCGAGACCGUUUGGGAGUGCAACAUGGUCGUUUGGCUCACCUCUAGCGGAAAGGACAACAAGGGCCGGUGCAGCAUCCAUGACAUCACCACCGUCAACCUGUCCGACGACGACGACCGCAACGGCCCCUCGGAAUCGCCGCCGUCGGUGCUCACCACAGCCUCGGACCAGUUUGGUGUCCUCUCUAUCGACGCCAAGCCCUCACGCUCACUCAGCGGGCAACGACAUGCGUUCAUGUAUUGUCGUCGGCGCUGCAGAUCACCAUCGUCACAUCCACGGGGACGACUGCACCUGGGACGAGGCAAGUCGUCGCAGGGUACAUACUUCAGAGACUUUGAGGUGAGGCCUAACUUCGAUCUACCCCUAGAGCUGCCGCCGCUUUCACCAAGCCGCCGCCACUGCUGCUUUCCUCCCGAAACCGCGCCGCCGCCACAUUCAUGA